AACACUAACAUGAUUGUACAUUGGCAAAGUUACCUACCAAAAUCUGUUACGUUUUCAAUUGGAUGAUGUCUUUCAAA